rnacentral:tmRNA from 1 species
GGGGGCGACAUGGCUUCGACGUGGGUCACGAAACUCCGGGUGCAUGCCGAGGAACAGAUCACCUCGUAAAUCCAGCUGUAAAACUAUAGUUGCCAACGACGACAACUACGCACUAGCUGCUUAAUAACCAGCUCAGAGCCCUCAGCCCGGAUCGUGCCUGUGCGUCCGGAUCCCUGGGGUCACCCACACAGGACCGUGGUGAGGGCAUGUUCAGGGCCUGAUCCACUAAAUCCUUACUGAACUGGCCACAGGUCUUCCCUGCCCGUCGGGUAGCUUGUGGCGAGAUUAAAGACGGAAUAAGCAUGUAGAUCUCUGGGCGUAGGGCUUGCGGACGCGGGUUCGAUUCCCGCCGCCUCCACCA